rnacentral:rRNA from 1 species
UACGUAGGGGGCAAGCGUUGUCCGGAAUCAUUGGGCGUAAAGCGCGUGUAGGCGGCCCGGUAAGUCCGCUGUGAAAGUCGGGGGCUCAACCCUCGAAUGCCGGUGGAUACUGUCGGGCUAGAGUGCGGGAGAGGCGAGUGGAAUUCCUGGUGUAGCGGUGAAAUGCGCAGAUAUCGGGAGGAACACCAAUGGCGAAGGCAGCUCGCUGGGACGGUACUGACGCUGAGAAGCGAAAGCGUGGGUAGCAAACAGG